rnacentral:rRNA from 1 species
GUAGUCUGCAACUCGACUACAUGAAGCUGGAAUCGCUAGUAAUCGCGAAUCAGCAUGUCGCGGUGAAUACGUUCCCGGGUCUUGUACACACCGCCCGUCACACCAUGGGAGUUGGUAACGCCCGAAGCCAGUGACCCAACCGGAAACGGAGGGAGCUGUCGAAGGUGGGACCGAUAACUGGGGUGAAGUCGUAACAAGGUAUC